GUUCUACCACUGAGCUGUAUGCCUAGCCAAGAUGCUGCAUUCUUGAGUACUAUCUAGUCCUCAUUUGCAGAGGUAUUUUUCUCAAACAGAUAACCCUAAUCGAUUCUCUAGCACUGUUUCUUCUCAUCUCGUGACUUGUGACGUGUUGUUCUUACUUCCCCAUGCCUUACCUUUGGCACAAUCAGCGUGCAGCCCCUCUCUUUUCCUAUAGCUUCAAGUUCUGCUCUAAGGCAGGCAGCCACUGAAACUGACACCCACAGGGUUAAACCUAUUUGCUGUAGCUAUCCCUCCUCCCCCUAGUCCCCCUUUUCACUGUAGGCUGGCAGCAGUCCUAGCUGCCUACUGAAGCCAAAUGCUUGAGGAGAGAGAGAGUAAGGAGCCAGCCAUGAAUCCUUUCCAGAAAAAUGAGUCCAAGGAAACGCUCUUUUCACCUGUCUCUACUGAAGAGAUGCUGCCUGGACCUCCAAGCCCUCCAAAGAAGUCAACUCCGAAGCUCUUCGGCUCUAGCUACCCACUCAGCAUCGCCUUCAUUGUGGUGAACGAAUUCUGCGAGCGAUUUUCCUAUUAUGGCAUGAAAGCUGUGUUGACCUUGUAUUUCCUGUACUUCCUGCACUGGAAUGAAGACACGUCCACAUCUGUCUACCAUGCCUUCAGCAGCCUCUGCUAUUUCACCCCCAUCUUGGGAGCAGCGAUUGCUGACUCCUGGCUGGGAAAAUUCAAGACAAUCAUCUAUCUGUCCCUGGUGUAUGUUCUUGGCCAUGUAUUCAAGUCUUUGGGUGCCAUACCAAUACUGGGAGGAAAAAUGCUACAUACAAUCUUAUCAUUGGUUGGCCUGAGUCUCAUAGCUCUGGGAACAGGAGGUAUCAAACCCUGUGUGGCAGCUUUUGGCGGAGACCAGUUUGAAGAGGAACAUGCAGAGGCACGGACUAGAUACUUCUCGGUCUUCUACCUCUCCAUCAAUGCAGGGAGCUUGAUUUCUACGUUCAUCACACCCAUGCUAAGAGGGGAUGUGAAGUGUUUUGGCGAAGACUGCUAUGCAUUGGCUUUUGGGAUUCCAGGAUUGCUCAUGGUGCUGGCACUUGUUGUGUUUGCAAUGGGAAGCAAGAUGUACAGAAAACCGCCUCCUGAAGGGAACAUAGUGGCUCAAGUUACCAAAUGUAUAUGGUUUGCUAUCUGCAACCGCUUCAGGAACCGUUCUGAGGACAUUCCAAAGCGACAACAUUGGCUAGACUGGGCAGCAGAAAAAUACCCAAAGCACCUCAUUAUGGACGUGAAGGCACUGACCAGGAUACUGUUCCUUUAUAUCCCACUGCCCAUGUUCUGGGCUCUUUUGGACCAACAGGGCUCACGGUGGACUCUGCAAGCUAACAAAAUGGAUGGCGAUUUGGGAUUUUUUGUACUUCAGCCGGAUCAGAUGCAGGUGCUAAAUCCCUUUCUGGUCCUUGUCUUCAUCCCAUUGUUUGACCUUGUCAUUUAUCGGCUGAUCUCCAAGUGCGGAGUUAACUUCUCGUCACUCAGGAAAAUGGCUGUUGGUAUGAUCCUAGCGUGCUUGGCAUUUGCAGUUGCAGCGCUUGUAGAGAUAAAAAUAAAUGGAAUGAUCCAUCCUCAGCCAGCUUCCCAAGAGAUUUUUCUGCAAGUCCUGAACUUGGCAGAUGGUGAAAUAGAGGUGACAGUGCAGGGAAACAGAAAUAAUCCUCUCUUGGUGGAGUCCAUCAGCUCUUUUCAGUGUAAGCACGCCUACCACAUAAAUACAGAACACAACACACUAUUCGAAACUACGCCUGGAGACAAAAAGCCAAGACUUACAUUUUCAUCUGAAGUACAACAACUUGUCUGUCCACAAUGAGUACUCUGUAGAGGAGAAGAACUGUUACCAGUUGGUGGUUCAUGAGAAUGGAGAAAGUCUCUCCAGUAUGCUGGUAAAGGACACAGGAAUCAAACCAGCCAAUGGGAUGACAGCCAUCAGGUUUAUUAACACUUUGCAUAAAGACAUGAAUAUUUCCUUGGAUGCCAAUGCUCCUCUCAGCGUGGGCAAAGACUAUGGAGUGUCUGAGUACAGAACUGUGCAAAGAGGAAAGUAUCCUGCAGUGCAUUGUGAAACGGAAGACAAUGUCUUUUCUCUCAAUUUAGGUCAACUAGACUUUGGUACAACAUAUUUGUUUGUGAUCACUAAUAUCACCAACCGGGGUCUUCAGGCCUGGAAGGCAGAAGACAUUCCAGCCAAUAAACUAUCCAUUGCAUGGCAGCUACCACAGUAUGUCCUGGUUACAGCAGCAGAGGUCAUGUUUUCUGUCACAGGACUUGAAUUUUCUUAUUCUCAGGCACCAUCUAGCAUGAAAUCUGUGCUCCAGGCAGCCUGGCUGUUGACCGUUGCAGUUGGGAAUAUUAUUGUGCUGAUCGUGGCACAGUUCAGUGGCCUGGUGCAGUGGGCUGAAUUCGUUUUGUUUUCCUGCCUCCUGCUGGUGGUCUGCCUGAUCUUCUCCGUCAUGGGCUACUACUAUGUUCCUCUAAAGUCAGAGGGUAUCCAUGAGGCAACAGAAAAGCAGAUUCCUCACAUCCAGGGGAAUAUGAUCAACCUAGAAACCAAGAAUACAAGGCUCUGAUGACUCACUGGAUGGAGACUGACCCCUGGCUCUGAUAUCAGCCAUCGCUUAUCUUCAAGCAACAAUUUUUUCCCCCCUCUGGCCAGGUUAGAGAAGGAGACAGCAUUUAUCUGAGUGGAUUGCCUCCAUUUUCUACCACAAUAGAGGCAAUUUUAGGACAAGGUUUUCAGGUAUAUCUUUAAACAAGGAUCCAAGACUCCGUGUCCUACAGGCUAUUGAUAAACUCAGUAAAUAUUAGGCAAUGUCUCUCAAGCUGGCCCAGUAUCUCCAAAUGCCCAGGAAAGUACAAAUGUGUAGUAGAGAUAAGUCUCAUGGCAUGCUAAGUUUGGAGGACUCCUUUAUCAGGUAUUUGGAACCUAUAGCUCUACUUGUUGAUAUGUUGGUUUAGGGCCAAAAUGACAGAAUACUGGUAUUUCAAUUUUCUUUAUCAGUAAUAUAACUUUGCUAUUCAUGAGGAUGUCAAAAAUGUUACAUACGGUAUGACCUAAUCCAGAGGCUAGCUCGUCAGCUAGAAAGUUUAAUAUGAUUUUUAGAUGGCCGACUAUAGAAUGGAAUUUUAUGUACACAUGGAAGAUACCUCUUUCUGAUUACCACACUGGUUUAUCUACUUAUCCAAAAACCCUUUCUCGGUACUGACAGAUCCUGGAAACCAUAAUUAAAGACAGUAAGGAAAGUCAUGGGGACACAGGAAUGCAUAUAAACUAUUCAUUCUCUUGUACUGCACGCCCCUCUAAAGAACUCUCUUGUUCCGGGCCUGGGCUGUGCUCCUCCGUGAACAUCUGUCUAUGAAACUAACUAUAGCUUUGCAACCCAGCCUUUUCAGUGUUGCUGGGACAGCUUGGUAUUAUUAUUAUAUCUUACUUUGCUUAUUACAGCAAAUCUUCAGUAACAAAAUGUUUUUUCUAACCCAACUUCCUUUAAUUUUUUUUUCUAUUUAGCUUCUUUGUUGUGUAUUUUUAUUUUUCCCGUAAUUUUUGUUUACAUUUCUCCCUUUGGUCUUAGAAAUACGCCCUGCUUAUGGAAAAGGGAUAAUACUAACAUCCUGGGUUUAAAGCUCUAAAUUGUAAUAUUCAGCAAAUGGACAAGGACCUGCAUGAGAAACUUAUUAAAAUCUGUGGGGGUGGGUGGAGCAGGUGGAGUUUUUGUGUGUGUGAAAAAAAAAGAGGGGAGUUGAGAAACAUUAUCUCACAUGUAAUACAUGGGUCAGGGAACGAGCUUGGGAAUAUUAGGACUAUGUCAUGUGUUCCUAGGAGAAAACGUUCACGGCCCCUGUAUGAAAGACCUCAUUUCUGUUCCUUUUACUACACGGUUUCCGUCUAUAGCCAUGUUGAUCGCACAUUGUUAAUAAUGUAAUAUGUUCUUAAGAUAAUCUGCUGCAGUCCCUCAAGCUUUAAAUACUUAAGUAUUCAACUACUAAGAUUUUAGAAAGCAUAAACGAGGUCGCAACACUAUCUCCUUUCCCCAGACAACUGCUAAGAACCUGUCCCAACUCCUUUUGAAGAUGUUCAUUUUUAAGAAGCUUUAGCUCAAAGCUAUUUGGUGAAUUUUGUUUUAAAGGGCGUUAAGACUGAUCUGUGAAUAAAAGUUUUUAUGUACAAGUAAAUUUGGGAAAUGAGA